rnacentral:rRNA from 1 species
CGUUACAGGUUCUCGGUGUGCUUCUGCCAAAACCCAAAUUUUCUAUGGUUGACCUCGGAUCAGGUAGGGAUACCCGCUGAACUUAAGCAUAUCAAU